GGCUACCAGACAUUGUACAAGCAUCAUUACCAAGCGGGGGAGUCACUACGCUUCUUCUGCUAUGAGGGCUUUGAGCUCAUCGGCGAGGUCACCAUCACCUGUGUACCUGGGCACCCCUCCCAGUGGACAAGCCAGCCCCCACUCUGCAAAGUGACCCAGACUACAGAUCCAUCACGGCAGCUGGAGGGUGGGAAUCUCGCUUUGGCUAUCCUGUUGCCCCUGGGCUUGGUCAUUGUCCUUGGCACUGGUGUUUACAUAUACUACACUAAGCUACAAGGAAAAUCCCUCUUUGGCUUCUCGGGCUCUCACUCCUACAGUCCCAUUACCGUGGAGUCAGACUUCAGCAACCCACUGUAUGAAGCUGGGGAUACAAGGGAAUAUGAAGUUUCCAUCUAAGUCUAAGUCUGCAGGACCCAGGACCUCCCCAUUCUCUCAUCAUUCUGGGCAGUGAGGAGCAAAGGAUCUGGUCUCUGGCUCCCCUACCCCCCUGCUGUGUAAAUAGUCUCCCCACCCCAUGAGGGGGCUUUGAUGGCCCUGGAGACCCUACAGUAAAUAAACCAGCAUCCUGCCGCCCAAAGCCGCCUCUUCUUAGUUGCCAAAUAAGGGGCCUUCCACCCCCUAUCCUACUGAUUUCUGGACCCACGGAAGGGAACUCAGCCCCUUGCAACUCUUGGGGCUCCUCCAGGCCAGGGCCCUACUCAAGAACUGUCCCCCAGCAUUACUGUCCCCAUGGCCAUGAAGGCUCCCUACCCCCAAAUGCCUGACUGCUGCUGGGCCUUGGAGGGUGAGAAGGAUGAAGGGAGAGAUGGGCUGAAACCCAUCCCUUCCCCGUGUCUCCCCACCCACUCUCUCUCCACAUUUAUUUGCUUCUGAGUUCUUGUUUUUGAGCAAUAAACGGAAAGUCACCACUUGUAA
rnacentral:lncRNA from 1 species